UCCGACGGUGGCAAGCGUUAUUCGGAUUUACUGUUCUUACAGGGAGCGUAGGCGGUUCGGUAAGCCCUUUGUGAAAUCUUCAGGCUUAACCUGGAACAGUCGGAGGGGACUGCCGGGCUAGAGGACGGGAGAGGGGCGCGGAAUUCCCGGUGUAGCGGUGAAAUGCGUAGAGAUCGGGAGGAAGGCCGGUGGCGAAGGCGGCGCUCUGGAACGUUUCUGACGCUGAGGCUCGAAAGCGUGGGGAGCAAACAGG
rnacentral:rRNA from 1 species